AGUGAACGCUGGCGGUAGGCCUAACACAUGCAAGUCGAACGGCAGCACAGUAAGAGCUUGCUCUUACGGGUGGCGAGUGGCGGACGGGUGAGGAAUACAUCGGAAUCUACUUUUUCGUGGGGGAUAACGUAGGGAAACUUACGCUAAUACCGCAUACGACCUACGGGUGAAAGCAGGGGAUCUUCGGACCUUGCGCGAUUGAAUGAGCCGAUGUCGGAUUAGCUAGUUGGCGGGUUAAAGGCCCACCAAGGCGACGAUCCGUAGCUGGUCUGAGAGGAUGAUCGGCCACACUGGAACUGAGACACGGUCCAGACUCCUACGGGAGGCAGCAGUGGGGAAUAUUGGACAAUGGGCGCAAGCCUGAUCCAGCCAUACCGCGUGGGUGAAGAAGGCCUUCGGGUUGUAAAGCCCUUUUGUUGGGAAAGAAAAGCAGCAGGUUAAUACCCCGCUGUUCUGACGGUACCCAAAGAAUAAGCACCGGCUAACUUCGUG
rnacentral:rRNA from 1 species